UCUCACCCGACCCAAGCCACGCCACCCUUUCUUCUUCCCCAUCUCGCCGAUUCCCUUUCUCCCCUUCGCUUCCUCGCGCCACCAUCCGAAGCCCGCAACGGCGUCGGUCGAUCGCCGACCUCGCUCACCCCGCACCGAUAGAGCCUCCCUCUCCCAUCAGCUCUUCGUCGCCGACCACCAACGCCACCCGACGCUGUGCCCUAGCAUGUAGCCGAGUCCACCUCUUCGUCACCGGCGCAGAUCUGGCCAUCGCCUUCACAGACUUAGCCGCAGACACCCAACCCUCGUCGGGAGCCAAGCACUCGAUCCCACCUUUCCGGCGGAGCCUUAGCCGUCACUGUGCCGCCGUGCGAUCAUGCCGGAUCUCGGUUUGAGGGCGUCCGAUCGCGUCAGAUUUGUGCGUCGCCGCCGUAUCAUCGGGAGCCACUACCACCGGAAGGGAGAUUCGACGCAAAGGAAGAUAGGGCUAUCCUUCCCCUUGUUUGAGGACCCAGCCGAGCAAGGGAGGUCAUCACUGGAGGGAUCUCUGCUGCGGAGCCAUAGAACUCUUCCCCUAUCAUGCGGAUUCCUUCACUGGAGUGGUACCACGAUCCUUGUCCCAACAAGCUCGCUAUCAAACAUGGAUGCAUUGCUAAGAUCCGAUGUUUGAUGAAAUUCCUAAUUCCUCGUGCUGUCUCUGUUCGUGUUGUCAACGCCGUCAUCGACCACCAUCCUUCAUGAGUAGUUGUGGGAUCAGUGAACAACCCGGGAGAAGAUUAGCGAGCAAAUGAGUGACGAAGCCCUUAACCUAAGCUUUGUUGAUUUAUGAUCAGUGAUGAUUUAGGGUUCUUUGAUUUGGAUGGCAGCACUUAUAUCAAGCUUCGAUCAUUGUUGUGAUACCAUGUUCUUAUCGGAUCCAAGGUGAGAGUCUUACUUCUAUUGCUGUGGCGAUUGAAUAUCUUCGUCAAGCGGAGAAUCGGAUUUGGAUGUGGACUCGAGACGAGCGUCUUGAAGCGAGACUACUUGACACGAUCGACAGAUAAAGGUAGCAGGUAAAGGAUUUAUAGAGUCGCCGGGAGAUCCUGCCCGCCAGUUCCACAUCACAUUCGAGGACAUUCUUAUGAUUUUGGUAUUCUUACGCUAUUUAUAUUUGGUUUCAUUUCUUGUUCUUGUGUUAUGUAUCUUGUAUUUGGUUUGAUAUUAUUGUGUCAAGCCGAGCCGGCUCGCAGUUAG